GUGGGUGUAGCUUUGUGGUAGAGUACCUGCUUAGCAUGUGUGAUGCCCUGGGUUUGACACCCAGUACCCUCU
rfam:Ictidomys tridecemlineatus contig042507, whole genome shotgun sequence.